GGGUGGCGCAUUGUUCAGUGAGACAGAAUAGCGAGGUCAUAGGUCCUCCUCUCCAAUAUGGCAGAAGCGAGGCAAAGAGAAACUUCACCAGUCGUCUCUGUCUCAUCAUUUCCCUGUUUUGCAGGUUUGUAACCGGUAAAACUAUAUUAAAACGGUUGUAAAAUAUUGAUAAGAAACACAGCUAAAUGUGAGGGUAUAAAUCAGCGGGUAAACCCUGUUAUUUGUUACGUUUUAUGAAGUAGAAGGACUGAAAAAAAUGCCAAAGCCUAGCCAGCCGCGGGCGCCAUUUUGGUUUCCUUUCUCCACUUAUUUCAGGUCGUUUUAGCUGAAUAAGCUCCUUGUCGUGUCCUGAUUUUGUGAAUAUGAAUGUUAAUCUGCUGUUGGCAGUGAAGAACGACUGUUUACUGGUUCUGAAAAGUGAUUUUGAGAAUGUUAAAGCUAAAGCUAAGCCUGCCAGCAUACACAUGACUCUUUCAUGUAUUUGUGAGCUACUAAGCUAAAUUGGUUUAAGACCAAGCACUGGUAUGUUGGUUAAAACAAUCAGAAUACAUAGGUAUUUGGGUUAAGAGUUAAAUAGAGGUAAAAAUGUAUUUGAACAUGCAUUUCAUAUUGUUUUGAAUUGUCAUUCAGAGAGAAUAGCCGAGUAAAUGAUUUGAAGGUCACUACACGUGAAGUACUCUUGUUUCCCAUGAAAAGAUCGUGGUAUUGCAGCUUGAACAUACAGACGGUUUUAUUGUUAUUUCUGUUGUAUAUAGAGAAUGGUGAUGCUGCAAGUUAAAAAUACAUGUGAUUGUAUAAAUAAAUAUGGCAGAAGCGAGGCAAAGAGAAACUUCACCAGUCGUCUCUGUCUCAUCAUUUCCCUGUUUUGCAGGAACAUUUAAUCUGUUUUACCGGCCCAUACUCUGGGUCGGUUACACAGGCUUACUUGUUGUUCCUCAAGUAUUUAAAAGUGUCAUGGUCCGCGGCCCGGCGUCCGGGGUGCUGCUGGGAUGUCCACGCCCACGAGCGUGGCUGCUAACCCCACACCUGCAUCCCAUCCCAGGCGAUCAUCAGGUGGACUAUUUAAUCCUGCCCUACCUGCUGCUCCACGCCAGUCCGUAGUCGCCUCUCAGCGAUCACAACUCGGCGUGUUUUUGUUUACGAGCCACUUGCCUGUCCACCUGUCCGCCUGAGAUUCGGUUCACCAUCAGCUCCGCCGUCUCGACCCCUUUUGGAGCUCCACCCCCCCCCUCUGGUUCACUCGGCCCGGCUAUCACCCCUCUCACAGCUCCGCUCUCGGCGUUCCCUGCGCGGUCCCUCGGUUUCUUCUGGUUCCAUACGUUGAUUUUCAGGCUACCCUCACGGGACACCUUUAGUUGCAAUAAAAAUUACUUCCUUUAUUCGCUCCUACCCUAGUGUGUGUGUUCUGCUACUGGGUCCUGCCUGCGCUCGGAACUUCGGUU